AAACAUAAUAAGAAAUAAACAAGGUGAGAAAGGAAGGGAGAAAGAGAAGCUGAUGCUUUUCUUUUCCCUUUCUCCCCCCUUGUUCUCGUGGGGAAUUCAAAUUCGUCUUCUUCUCUUGUUGAAUCUGCAAAAUGACAUUUCAAGAUUUGAGAGAUUUUAGAGAGAGAGACAGCGGAGGAGGGAACGAAUCGAUGAUAACACGAUCGAAUCUGGCGGAACAGCUUAGGGAGUAUCAAAUUCGAUCCAAGUACGAUUGGGCUUCUGUCUCUAUCUUCUCCUCUACUUCUAAUCUCACUCAUUCGAGCAAGUAAGACUGGCUCGGAAAAAGAAACGAAGGAUGCUUCUUCCAUUGUCAAUGUAAAGAAAGCUCUAUGGAGUUGGGGACUUUUUUUCCCCAAGCAACCACACUUUCUUGUGUAAAAUGUCGGCAUUCUUGACCAUUGUUUUUUGUCCAUCCUCAGCUUUUUGUUUAUUGACAUGUAUGCAGUUAAAGCGAGCUGUUUAAGGAAUAUAAUUGAUGUGGUUACUUCAAAACCAUAUGAUCCAAUUGUUACUUAUCAUUUUCUGACUUUGCUAAGAUGCGGCUGCUGCUUGUAGGUUUUGGGUUUCUUUUUUGUUUUUUUUUUAAAUAUUGUUAUGCAUUAGCACAAGACCUGAUGACCUAACAUAAUAUUGUUACACUC